rnacentral:tRNA from 1 species
ACGGGAAUAGCUCAGUUGGUAGAGCAUCGGUCUCCAAAACCGAGUGUCGGGAGUUCGAGUCUCUCUUCCCGUGCC